GAUGAACGCUAGCGGCAGGCUUAAUACAUGCAAGUCGAGGGACAGCACAGGUAGCAAUACUGGGUGGUAACCGGCAAACGGGUGCGGAACACGUACACAACCUUCCUUUAAGUGGGGGAUAGCCCAGAGAAAUUUGGAUUAAUACCCCGUAAUAUAGUUGAAUAGCAUCAUUUGAUUAUUAUAGCUACGGCGCUUAAUGAUGGGUGUGCGGCUGAUUAGAUAGUUGGCGGGGUAACGGCCCACCAAGUCUACGAUCAGUAGCUGAUGUGAGAGCAUGAUCAGCCAGACGGGCACUGAGACACGGGCCCGACUCCUACGGGAGGCAGCAGUAAGGAAUAUUGGUCAAUGGACGCAAGUCUGAACCAGCCAUGCCGCGUGAAGGAUUAAGGUCCUCUGGAUUGUAAACUUCUUUUAUUUGGGACGAAAAAGGGCCUUUCUAGGUCAACUGACGGUACCAGAUGAAUAAGCACCGGCUAACUCCGUGCCAGCCGCCGCAGUAACAC
rnacentral:rRNA from 1 species